CGUGAGAAUCUGCCAAAAGGACUGGGACAACCACUGGAAACGGUGGCUAAUACCAGAUGUGCCGCAACGUAAAAGAGGAAACUCGCCUUUUGAGGAGCUCGCGUCUGAUUAGCUAGUUGGUGAGGUAAAAGCUCACCAAGGCAACGAUCAGUAGCUGGUCUGAGAGGACGACCAGCCACACUGGGACUGAGACACGGCCCAGACUCCUACGGGAGGCAGCAGUGGGGAAUUUUCCGCAAUGGGCGAAAGCCUGACGGAGCAAGACCGCGUGAGGGAGGAAGGCUCUUGGGUCGUAAACCUCUUUUGUCAGGGAAGAACACAAUGACGGUACCUGACGAAUCAGCAUCGGCUAACUCCGUGCCAGCAGCCGCGGUAAUACGGAGGAUGCAAGCGUUAUCCGGAAUUAUUGGGCGUAAAGCGUCCGUAGAUGGUUUUGCCAGUCGGCUGUCAAAGCGCAGGGCUUAACCCUGUAAAGGCAGUGGAAACUACAAGACUAGAGUGCAGUAGGGGCAGAGGGAAUUCCCAGUGUAGCGGUGAAAUGCGUAGAGAUUGGGAAGAACACCCGUGGCGAAAGCGCUCUGCUGGACUGCA
rnacentral:rRNA from 1 species